ensembl:lncRNA
AUGAUAUUUAUGAGUACUACGUCAUCAUAUGGCGCUUCAUAUGUAAUUUGGCGAGGCGGAAUCCCAGCUACUGUAUUCAAAUUAGAUGCCCUAUAUUCAUUUAUUACACCGUCACUACUGUGGAGGAAGAGUGUGGAGGUGGGAAUAUGUAUAGAGGAGACUGAAAGGAGCUGGGCUGACAGAGAAUAUCGCCAAAGCCAAGACCGCUGCACUCUGACCCUCGUACGGCCAACAGUCACCUGCUACUCUCCCAGGAGGAGCGCUGCGCCGUGUCCCCGCCCACGAGUACUCGCCAAGACUACACCUGGCAUGUGCUCUGCUUCCAGGGCUUCAAACACAGAAAGCAGUACUGGGAGCUGGAGGUGUCCAAGCCAUGGGCCUACCUGGGGGUCAGAGUGUGAAGGCCAUGGUAGCCCAGAGCAGGGGGUCAGAGUGUGA